rnacentral:rRNA from 1 species
GGACAGUACUGACGCUGAGAUGCGAAAGCGUGGGGAGCAAACAGGAUUAGAUACCUGGUAGUCCACGCUGUAAACGAUGUCGAUUUGGAGUUUGUUGCCUAGAGUGAUGGGCUCCGAAGCUAACGCGAUAAAUCGACCGCUGGGGAGUACGGCCGCAAGGUUAAAACUCAAAUGAAUUGACGGGGGCCCGCACAAGCGGUGGAGCAUGUGGUUUAAUUCGAUGCAACGCGAAGAACCUUACCUGGUCUUGACAUCCAUAGAAUUCUGCAGAGAUGUGGGAGUGCCUUCGGGAACUAUGAGACAGGUGCUGCAUGGCUGUCGUCAGCUCGUGUUGUGAAAUGUUGGGUUAAGUCCCGCAACGAGCGCAACCCCUAUUCUUUGUUGCCAGCGAUUUGGUCGGGAACUCAAAGGAGACUGCCGUUGAUAAAGCGGAGGAAGGUGGGGACGACGUCAAGUCAUCAUGGCCCUUACGACCAGGGCUACACACGUGCUACAAUGGCGUAUACAAAGGGAAGCGAAGGUGCGAGCUGGAGCGGAUCUCAUAAAGUACGUCUAAGUUCGGAUUGGAGUCUGCAACUCGACUCCAUGAAGUCGGAAUCGCUAGUAAUCGUAGAUCAGAAUGCUACGGUGAAUACGUUCCCGGGCCUUGUACACACCGCCCGUCACACCAUGGGAGUGGGUUGCACCAGAAGUAGAUAGCUUAACCGCGAGGGGGGCGUUUACCACGGUGUGAUUCAUGACUGGGGUGAAGUCGUAACAAGGUAACCA